rnacentral:rRNA from 1 species
GAUCGGCCCGCGUCUGAUUAGCUUGUUGGUGGGGUAACGGCCUACCAAGGCGACGAUCAGUAGCUGGUCUGAGAGGAUGAUCAGCCACACUGGGACUGAGGCACGGCCCAGACUCCUACGGGAGGCAGCAGUGGGGAAUAUUGGACAAUGGGCGCAAGCCUGAUCCAGCCAUGCCGCGUGAGUGAUGAAGGCCUUAGGGUUGUAAAGCUCUUUUGUCCGGGACGAUAAUGACGGUACCGGAAGAAUAAGCCCCGGCUAACUUCGUGCCAGCAGCCGCGGUAAUACGAAGGGGGCUAGCGUUGCUCGGAAUCACUGGGCGUAAAGGGCGCGUAGGCGGCCGAUUAAGUCGGGGGUGAAAGCCUGUGGCUCAACCACAGAAUUGCCUUCGAUACUGGUUGGCUUGAGACCGGAAGAGGACAGCGGAACUGCGAGUGUAGAGGUGAAAUUCGUAGAUAUUCGCAAGAACACCAGUGGCGAAGGCGGCUGUCUGGUCCGGUUCUGACGCUGAGGCGCGAAAGCGUGGGGAGCAAACAGGAUUAGAUACCCUGGUAGUCCACGCC